rnacentral:rRNA from 1 species
AGAUGAGAAUGUGCCUUCGGGAACCGUGAGACAGUGCUGCAUGGCUGUCGUCAGCUCGUGUUGUGAAAUGUUGGGUUAAGUCCCGCAACGAGCGCAACCCUUAUCCCUUUGUUGCCAGCGGUCCGGCCGGGAACUCAAAGGAGACUGCCAGUGAUAAACUGGAGGAAGGUGGGGAUGACGUCAAGUCAUCAUGGCCCUUACGACCAGGGCUACACACGUGCUACAAUGGCGCAUACAAAGAGAAGCGACCUCGCGAGAGCAAGCGGACCUCAUAAAGUGCGUCGUAGUCCGGAUUGGAGUCUGCAACUCGACUCCAUGAAGUCGGAAUCGCUAGUAAUCGUGGAUCAGAAUGCCACGGUGAAUACGUUCCCGGGCCUU